CUCUACCGCCCCAGAAACGUUAAGGGGGCGGAGCCUGUCUACCCCUUCUCCAAUGAGCGAGGCGACGCGACAUUGCCCCCCCUUCCCGUGAUGCACCGCGGCUGCCCUGCGGCCGCCGCCGCGAUGAGCGACUCCAUCCGGGUCCUGGGCGCCGCUCCGGGUCACCCUGCAGCAGAUUUGACCAGAAACGUUUGAGGCUUUGACACUGCUGCUACGACCUGCAGGUAUUGACAACCGUGCCUCGGAUUUAAAACAGACCUGGUGGAAUUUGAGAUUACAUCUAUGGAAGAAGAUUGUAAUUUAACUCACAUUUUUAAAAGAGAAUUGAGUUUUAGAUACCUUUCUUGCUCUGCAUCUUGCUGUCUAUCCAGAGGUGAAGUCUCGAGAGCCCCUAAUGGUGUGGAAAAGAUGUCCCCUGCUAUGUUACUUAGGGAUAGUCAGUACUUAAUUCUGUACUUUACAGAAUAUCAUACAUCUUCUGGAUAAAACACCAUGCCAGGAGAUGUUGCACUGAACCACACUGUUGACAGAACCAGGUUAAAGGAAUAUGCUCUUAAAAUACUUGUUUCAUCACUUUCAGCCACCACACCUACGAUGCUGAUGUUGUCACACGCCACAUCCGUAAAGCCCC